rnacentral:rRNA from 1 species
UGGGGAAUAUUGCACAAUGGAGGGAACUCUGAUGCAGCGACGCCGCGUGAGUGAUGAAGGAAUUCGUUUCGUAAAACUCUGUUCUAUGGGAAGAAAAGGACUGUACCAUAGGAGAAAGCUCCGGCUAAAUACGUGCCAGCAGCCGCGGUAAUACGUAUGGAGCGAGCGUUGUCCGGAAUUAUUGGGCGUAAAGGGUGCGCAGGCCGCUUUACAAGUUGGAUGUGAAAUAUUGUGGCUCAACCACAAACGUGCAUCCAAAACUGCAAAGCUUGAGUUAAGGAGAGGUAAGUGGAAUUCCUGGUGUAGCGGUGGAAUGCGUAGAUAUCAGGAGGAAUACCGGUGGCGAAGGCGACUUACUGGACUUAAACUGACGCUCAGGCACGAAAGCGUGGGGAGCAAACAGG